rnacentral:rRNA from 1 species
UACGUAGGCAGCAAGCGUUGUUCGGAAUUACUGGGCGUAAAGAGUGUGUAGGCGGUGCUCUAAGUCUGUCGCGAAAUCUCCCGGCUUAACUGGGAGGGUGCGGCGGAUACUAUUGUGCUAGAGGGUGGGAGAGGUAAGCGGAAUUCCUGGUGUAGCGGUGAAAUGCGUAGAUAUCAGGAGGAACACCUGCGGUGUAGACAGCUUACUGGACCACUUCUGACGCUGAGACACGAAAGCGUGGGUAGCAAACAGG